CCCAAAGCUAAUAAAAAAGGAAAUAAUCUACUUAAAACGAUUUAAUCUUCUCACGGUGGUUUAAAGGAGUGUAACUUGUGUGACACAGUUGGCGAAGUAUUGAUAGAUUCAGCUGCAUCAAUUUCUAACCCUCAAACUUUGCAGGCUUCAAAAUGGGACUUUAGGCUGGAAGAACAGCUAACUGCCUCCCACUAACUGGAUUAACAGCAGGACCAAUCUUCCCUUGGGUUUGUUGGCACCAAUGGUACUCUAGAAAUCUGUUGUUCGAGAACAGAACUAUCACAGAGGAUGAAACAGCCAUCAAAGCAAUAGUUGCAGCAAGAGAUUGGCAAUUUGCCCAAGCCACAGAGAAAUGAGAGCUCACCUGCAGAAAUGGUAAUUCAAGGCCCCAACCUCCAAGGAACACAAUUAAUGUCUUCUUGAACUCCUCAUGGCGUUCAGAUCUCAAGGCUGCAGGAUCAGA
rnacentral:lncRNA from 1 species